rnacentral:rRNA from 1 species
AUUGAACGCUGGCGGCAUGCCUUACACAUGCAAGUCGAACGAACCCUUCGGGGUUAGUGGCGGACGGGUGAGUAACACGUGGGAACGUGCCUUUAGGUUCGGAAUAACUCAGGGAAACUUGUGCUAAUACCGAAUGUGCCCUUCGGGGGAAAGAUUUAUCGCCUUUAGAGCGGCCCGCGUCUGAUUAGCUAGUUGGUGAGGUAAAGGCUCACCAAGGCUACGAUCAGUAGCUGGUCUGAGAGGAUGACCAGCCACAUUGGGACUGAGACACGGCCCAAACUCCUACGGGAGGCAGCAGUGGGGAAUCUUGCGCAAUGGGCGAAAGCCUGACGCAGCCAUGCCGCGUGGAUGAUGAAGGUCUUAGGAUUGUAAAAUCCUUUCACCGGUGAAGAUAAUGACUGUACCCGGAGAAGAAGCCCCGGCUAACUUCGUGCCAGCCGCCGCCGUAACAC